GACGAACGCUGGCGGCGUGCUUAACACAUGCAAGUGGAGCGACGAACCGGGGCUUGCCCCGGGGCAGAGCCGCGAACGGGUGAGUAACACGUGGGUAACCUGCCUCAAUGAUUGGGACAACCCGGGGAAACUCGGGCUAAUACCAAAUGUGUUCACUCCUUCUAAGGGGAGUGAGGAAAGGAAGCUUCGGCCUCCGCAUUGAGAUGGGGCCCGCGGCCCAUUAGCUUGUUGGUGAGGUAACGGCUCACCAAGGCUUCGAUGGGUAGCUGGUCUGAGAGGACGAUCAGCCACACUGGGACUGAGACACGGCCCAGACUCCUACGGGAGGCAGCAGUGGGGAAUCUUGCACAAUGCGCGAAAGCGUGAUGCAGCAACGCCGCGUGGGGGAAGACGGCC
rnacentral:rRNA from 1 species